rnacentral:rRNA from 1 species
UUAAGCGACUAAGCGUACACGGUGGAUGCCCUGGCAGUCAGAGGCGAUGAAGGACGUGCUAAUCUGCGAAAAGCGUCGGUAAGGUGAUAUGAACCGUUAUAACCGGCGAUGUCCGAAUGGGGAAACCCAGUGCAAUUCGUUGCACUAUCGUUAACUGAAUACAUAGGUUAACGAGGCGAACCGGGGGAACUGAAACAUCUAAGUACCCCGAGGAAAAGAAAUCAACCGAGAUUCCCCCAGUAGCGGCGAGCGAACGGGGAGCAGCCCAGAGUCUGAAUCAGCUUGUGUGUUAGUGGAACGGUCUGGAAAGUCCGACGGUACAGGGUGAUAGUCCCGUACACCAAAAUGCACAGGUUGUGAACUCGAAGAGUAGGGCGGGACACGUGGUAUCCUGUCUGAAUAUGGGGGGACCAUCCUCCAAGGCUAAAUACUCCUGACUGACCGAUAGUGAACCAGUACCGUGAGGGAAAGGCGAAAAGAACCCCGGCGAGGGGAGUGAAAAAGAACCUGAAACCGUGUACGUACAAGCAGUGGGAGCACCUUCGGGUGUGACUGCGUACCUUUUGUAUAAUGGGUCAGCGACUUAUAUUCUGUAGCAAGGUUAACCGUAUAGGGGAGCCGCAGGGAAACCGAGUCUUAACUGGGCGUUAAGUUGCAGGGUAUAGACCCGAAACCCGGUGAUCUAGCCAUGGGCAGGUUGAAGGUUGGGUAACACUAACUGGAGGACCGAACCGACUAAUGUUGAAAAAUUAGCGGAUGACUUGUGGCUGGGGGUGAAAGGCCAAUCAAACCGGGAGAUAGCUGGUUCUCCCCGAAAGCUAUUUAGGUAGCGCCUCGUGAAUUCAUCUUCGGGGGUAGAGCACUGUUUCGGCUAGGGGGUCAUCCCGACUUACCAACCCGAUGCAAACUACGAAUACCGAAGAAUGUUAUCACGGGAGACACACGGCGGGUGCUAACGUCCGUCGUGAAGAGGGAAACAACCCAGACCGCCAGCUAAGGUCCCAAAGUCAUGGUUAAGUGGGAAACGAUGUGGGAAGGCACAGACAGCCAGGAUGUUGGCUUAGAAGCAGCCAUCAUUUAAAGAAAGCGUAAUAGCUCACUGGUCGAGUCGGCCUGCGCGGAAGAUGUAACGGGGCUAAACCAUGCACCGAAGCUGCGGCAGCGACACUAUGUGUUGUUGGGUAGGGGAGCGUUCUGUAAGCCUGCGAAGGUGACCUGUGAGGGUUGCUGGAGGUAUCAGAAGUGCGAAUGCUGACAUAAGUAACGAUAAAGCGGGUGAAAAGCCCGCUCGCCGGAAGACCAAGGGUUCCUGUCCAACGUUAAUCGGGGCAGGGUGAGUCGACCCCUAAGGCGAGGCCGAAAGGCGUAGUCGAUGGGAAACAGGUUAAUAUUCCUGUACUUGGUGUUACUGCGAAGGGGGGACGGAGAAGGCUAUGUUAGCCGGGCGACGGUUGUCCCGGUUUAAGCAUGUAGGCUGAUUGUCCAGGCAAAUCCGGAUAAUCAAGGCUGAGGUGUGAUGACGAGGCACUACGGUGCUGAAGUAACAAAUGCCCUGCUUCCAGGAAAAGCCUCUAAGCAUCAGGUAACAUCAAAUCGUACCCCAAACCGACACAGGUGGUCAGGUAGAGAAUACCAAGGCGCUUGAGAGAACUCGGGUGAAGGAACUAGGCAAAAUGGUGCCGUAACUUCGGGAGAAGGCACGCUGGUGUGUAGGUGAAGCCCCUGCGGGUGGAGCUGAGACCAGUCGAAGAUACCAGCUGGCUGCAACUGUUUAUUAAAAACACAGCACUGUGCAAACACGAAAGUGGACGUAUACGGUGUGACGCCUGCCCGGUGCCGGAAGGUUAAUUGAUGGGGUUAUCCGUAAGGAGAAGCUCUUGAUCGAAGCCCCGGUAAACGGCGGCCGUAACUAUAACGGUCCUAAGGUAGCGAAAUUCCUUGUCGGGUAAGUUCCGACCUGCACGAAUGGCGUAAUGAUGGCCAGGCUGUCUCCACCCGAGACUCAGUGAAAUUGAACUCGCUGUGAAGAUGCAGUGUACCCGCGGCAAGACGGAAAGACCCCGUGAACCUUUACUAUAGCUUGACACUGAACAUUGAGCCUUGAUGUGUAGGAUAGGUGGGAGGCUUUGAAGCGUGGACGCCAGUCUGCGUGGAGCCAACCUUGAAAUACCACCCUUUAAUGUUUGAUGUUCUAACGUUGGCCCCUUACCGGGGUUGCGGACAGUGUCUGGUGGGUAGUUUGACUGGGGCGGUCUCCUCCCAAAGCGUAACGGAGGAGCACGAAGGUUAGCUAAUCCUGGUCGGACAUCAGGAGGUUAGUGCAAUGGCAUAAGCUAGCUUGACUGCGAGCGUGACGGCGCGAGCAGGUGCGAAAGCAGGUCAUAGUGAUCCGGUGGUUCUGAAUGGAAGGGCCAUCGCUCAACGGAUAAAAGGUACUCCGGGGAUAACAGGCUGAUACCGCCCAAGAGUUCAUAUCGACGGCGGUGUUUGGCACCUCGAUGUCGGCUCAUCACAUCCUGGGGCUGAAGUAGGUCCCAAGGGUAUGGCUGUUCGCCAUUUAAAGUGGUACGCGAGCUGGGUUUAGAACGUCGUGAGACAGUUCGGUCCCUAUCUGCCGUGGGCGCUGGAGAAUUGAGGGGGGCUGCUCCUAGUACGAGAGGACCGGAGUGGACGCAUCACUGGUGUUCGGGUUGUCAUGCCAAUGGCACUGCCCGGUAGCUAAAUGCGGAAGAGAUAAGUGCUGAAAGCAUCUAAGCACGAAACUUGCCCCGAGAUGAGUUCUCCCUGAGACUUUAAGUCUCCUGAAGGAACGUUAAAGACGAUGACGUUGAUAGGCCGGGUGUGUAAGCGCAGCGAUGCGUUGAGCUAACCGGUACUAAUGAACCGUGAGGCUUAACCUU